rnacentral:rRNA from 1 species
GACGAACGCUGGCGGCGUGCUUAACACAUGCAAGUCGAACGGAAAGGCCCCUUUGGGGGUACUCGAGUGGCGAACGGGUGGGUAACACGCGAGUAAGCUGCCCUUGACUUCGGGAUAGCUUAAGUAAACUGGGGCUAAUACCGGAUAGGAAUGAUUUCUGCCUGGUGGGGGUUGGAAAGCUUCGGUGGUUUGGGGUGGAAUCGCGGCCUGCCUGGCUGUUGGUGGGGGAGUGGCUUACCCAGGAUUUGACGGGGGGCCGGCCUGGGGGGGCGACCGGCCACAGUGGGACUGGGAUUCGGCCCCGGCUCCGACGGGAGGGAGCAGGGGGGGAUAUUGCAAAAGGGGCGGGAGCCGUAUGCAGCAACGCCGCGGGCGGGAUGACGGGCUUCGGGUUGGAAACCGCUUUCAGCAGGUGCGGAGCUGGUGGUGACGGUACCGGCAGAAGAAGCACCGGCUAACUACGUG